GAGGGGGGCGGAGGGCCGCCGCCCGGAGUGCCUUGUUGUACUUCACCUAAUCCAAUGGCAAAAUCCAAGCAGUAAGAAUCUGGAUCUUCUCUGUGUAAAAUGCUUGUAGCCUUGCAAAGGUUGGUCUGUGCAUGGUCCCGCUUAAUCCAAGCACCUGGAAGCCUCUGCGGAAUCAGGACCUGCAAAGCAGAAGUGGAAAAUGGGAAAACUGAGAUUCUCAUGUAUUUUCAAGUCUCAGUUGGCUAACGUGAGAAGAAAAAUUUGAAUACGACAAGACUACUCUGACAUUUUAGAGAAUUUUCCUAUUAGGAAUUGGAUAAACGGAAGUAAUGUGCCUGUGCUGUUUUGUGUACGUGGGUUAUUGACAGUCACUGCAAGUGCAUGACUGAGAUAGGUAGGCCAGCUGUUGUUCUAGAAGUUUAUAAAUGUUCAAACUUUAUUGUUUGUUUUGUAAUCUCCAUUUCUUAACAUCUGAUAUUUCUUUUUUUAUCUAACUGGUGAUCUUACUACUGUGUAUGAUUAAAUGAAUUACUUUGUCUUGUAAUGUUGCCUGGCAAAACCAGGUACAUUUUGAUGCAAGUUUGUUUCUUUUUAGAUUUAUAUCUGCUUACGUAGCAUUAUUGCUGUUGAAGUAGGGCAUUUUAUUUUCUUCAAUGAUAUAUGAUCAGAAAAUGAAAGGGAGAAAAUGCAUCAAAUUAAACAUUCUUUGUAUAAACUCUGUUUCAACAUGUCAUUGCAAUAGCUAACGUUGGGCAGUGUUGGACUGUGGAAUAAGCGGGGCAAU
rnacentral:lncRNA from 1 species